rnacentral:rRNA from 1 species
AGAGUUUGAUCAUGGCUCAGGACGAACGCUGGCGGCGUGCCUAAUACAUGCAAGUCGAACGAACUCUGGUAUUGAUUGGUGCUUGCAUCAUGAUUUACAUUUGAGUGAGUGGCGAACUGGUGAGUAACACGUGGGAAACCUGCCCAGAAGCGGGGGAUAACACCUGGAAACAGAUGCUAAUACCGCAUAACAACUUGGACCGCAUGGUCCGAGUUUGAAAGAUGGCUUCGGCUAUCACUUUUGGAUGGUCCCGCGGCGUAUUAGCUAGAUGGUGGGGUAACGGCUCACCAUGGCAAUGAUACGUAGCCGACCUGAGAGGGUAAUCGGCCACAUUGGGACUGAGACACGGCCCAAACUCCUACGGGAGGCAGCAGUAGGGAAUCUUCCACAAUGGACGAAAGUCUGAUGGAGCAACGCCGCGUGAGUGAAGAAGGGUUUCGGCUCGUAAAACUCUGUUGUUAAAGAAGAACAUAUCUGAGAGUAACUGCUCAGGUAUUGACGGUAUUUAACCAGAAAGCCACGGCUAACUACGUGCCAGCAGCCGCGGUAAUACGUAGGUGGCAAGCGUUGUCCGGAUUUAUUGGGCGUAAAGCGAGCGCAGGCGGUUUUUUAAGUCUGAUGUGAAAGCCUUCGGCUCAACCGAAGAAGUGCAUCGGAAACUGGGAAACUUGAGUGCAGAAGAGGACAGUGGAACUCCAUGUGUAGCGGUGAAAUGCGUAGAUAUAUGGAAGAACACCAGUGGCGAAGGCGGCUGUCUGGUCUGUAACUGACGCUGAGGCUCGAAAGUAUGGGUAGCAAACAGGAUUAGAUACCCUGGUAGUCCAUACCGUAAACGAUGAAUGCUAAGUGUUGGAGGGUUUCCGCCCUUCAGUGCUGCAGCUAACGCAUUAAGCAUUCCGCCUGGGGAGU